UGCGUAGGCGGAAUAAUAAGUCAGUGGUGAAAUCUCUCGGCUCAACCGGGAAACUGCCAUUGAUACUGUUAUUCUUGAGUACAGUUGAAGUGGGCGGAAUGUGUCAUGUAGCGGUGAAAUGCUUAGAUAUGACACAGAACACCGAUAGCGAAGGCAGCUCACUAAGCUGUAACUGACGCUCAUGCACGAAAGCGUGGGGAUCAAACAGGAUUAGAUACCCUGGUAGUCC
rnacentral:rRNA from 1 species